GAUGAAGAACGCAGCGAAAUGCGAUACUUGGUGUGAAUUGCAGAAUCCCGUGAACCAUCGAGUCUUUGAACGCAAGUUGCGCCCGAAGCCGUCAGGCCGAGGGCACGCCUGCCUGGGCGUCACACGCCGUUGCCCCCCCGCGCCCCGCACCCAACUCUUUGGGAGCGACCGCGGGGCGGGCUGAUGAUGGCCUCCCGUGCGCUCCGCCGCGCGGUUGGCCCAAAUACCGAGUCCCCGGCGACGUGCGCCGCGACGAUCGGUGGUUGAGAGACCUCUGUCGCAAGUCGUGCGCGCCCGUCGCGUCACGCGGGCUCGCAUAGCGCCUCGCGCCGCACCCGGUGCGGAGCUUUCAACGCGACCCCAGGUCAGGCGGGGUUACCCGCUGAAUUUAAGCAUAUCAAUAAGGGAGGA
rnacentral:misc_RNA from 1 species